AGUGAACGCUGGCGGUAGGCCUAACACAUGCAAGUCGAACGGCAGCACAGUAAGAGCUUGCUCUUACGGGUGGCGAGUGGCGGACGGGUGAGGAAUACAUCGGAAUCUACUUUUUCGUGGGGGAUAACGUAGGGAAACUUACGCUAAUACCGCAUACGACCUACGGGUGAAAGCAGGGGAUCUUUGGCCCUUGCGCGAUUGAAUGAGCCGAUGUCGGAUUAGCUAGUUGGCGGGGUAAAGGCCCACCAAGGCGACGAUCCGUAGCUGGUCUGAGAGGAUGAUCAGCCACACUGGAACUGAGACACGGUCCAGACUCCUACGGGAGGCAGCAGUGGGGAAUAUUGGACAAUGGGCGCAAGCCUGAUCCAGCCAUACCGCGUGGGUGAAGAAGGCCUUCGGGUUGUAAAGCCCUUUUGUUGGGAAAGAAAAGCAGCAGGUUAAUACCCCGCUGUUCUGACGGUACCCAAAGAAUAAGCACCGGCUAACUUCGUG
rnacentral:rRNA from 1 species